UGCAGGCUGCAACUCGCCUGCACGAAGCCGGAGUUGCUAGUAAUCGCGGAUCAGAAUGCCGCGGUGAAUGCGUUCCCGGGUCUUGUACACACCGCUCGUCACACCAUGGAAGUUGGGGGUGCCCAAAGCCGGCAGGGAAAUAUGCUGUCUAAGGCAAAACCAAUGACUGGGGUGAAGUCGUAACAAGGUAAC
rnacentral:rRNA from 1 species